CGCUCUCAGUCCUGUCAUUCAACAACUUAUAUGACACUGGGGCAGGAGUGGUGUUUGGAUGAACACGUGUGGAAAUCGUAACAGAAACUUUUACAUUUAAAGGAAAAAGCCUUGUGUGGCAGGUGUCACCUUAAACUGGAAUCACGUUACAGAGACAAGAGGACAAUUCACCAGCCUACAAACUGGACAAACUAAGGAAUCACUUGUUUCACUGAAGGAGUGUAUGAAGACUGAGGAGCAGACUCAAAACAGUGUCUUUUGAAUCCCAUCAGAAAUGUCUAACUCACCUCAGCCAGAUGAAGAGGUCCCACUGAACACCAUACCAGGGUCAGGUGAAACAUGCGACCAAGUCAUCAGCUGCUCUCCACAGGGUGCCACGUCCUGCUGCAAAGACAAGCACUACAGGAAACUGGCCAUAUGCAGCAUCAUCUGUGGGAUCUCCUGCAUCGGAAUCAAAGCUUUGAUAAAUUCAGUCAAGGCUGAGAAAACAACAGAUCCAGAGGCCGUGGCAACAUAUUCACGACGGGCGAGAAAAUUUGGCAUCAUGUCCAUCGUGCUGUGGGUUGUCUUUCUGGCCUCAUUGCCCAUUCUGCUGGCACUGGUCUCUUACCUGUUCACUCUGAAAGACUGAUCAGCUUUGAUAAAGCCUCUGCGGGAGACAAAAGAAGACAUUUUCAUUUCAGAUGUUUAUGGAGACAGACAGGGGACAGCACAGAGCUGCUUAUCAACUACACACCAUCAAGACAUGAAGAAACCAGCAGUGACAUGAAACAGAAAAAAACCUGCUUCAGCCUUUCCUGUGCUGCUGUCCCAGUUUACACUUUUCUACUUCCUUUUCAGCAUUAAUGUUUUUUAACAUGAGGAACUGCUCAAGAAUAUAGUAUUAAAAAUCUUAGAACUUUUACUUGUCUUCUUAUAUGCUGUUGUAUUUAUUUAACAAUAUAUGGACAAUUGCAAUUCUAAAUGACCAUAGAAAUUCAAACAUUACCUUUAGUUUGAGACAUGACACGACAUGAAACAAAUACCUUUUAUAAUAAAGAUCAGAAUGGUCAUUCCCCAGUAGCGACCCAAUCCUUAGAUGCAUUACAAUUUAACAUACUCGUUUUUAGACACUAGUAAAUAUUUGCCGAUACCACAAAAGUUAAUAAAUUAGUCGACCUGUGAAUAUAAAAAAGUAGCAACAUGAAGCUGUUUGUGAAGGAUUGGGUCUGUACUGGAAAUGGCGUGGCAGCGAUCACGGCAGUGCUUCGUCAGAACAUUAUGAGAUCCUGCUCUCGUCGUGCCAACGCUGUGUUGGCAUUAUUGCAUUGUUACCAUAUUAGCUUUAUUAACGUCAAAUGUAUAAGUAUGCUGUACUUUUAUACAAACAUGUAACAAACAGUUUUAUAAUAAAAUGAGAAAAACCUU